rnacentral:tRNA from 1 species
GCGGGGGUGUUGGAGCUUGGUUAACAAGCACAGCUGAAGACUGUGUUAGUCUUUCACAGACUUUCCCGGGUUCAAAUCCCGGCCCCCGCG